CCAUAUCACAUUGAAAAACCAGUUCUAAUAUGAUAACUGAAGUUAAGCAACAUUGAGCCUGGUCAGUACCUAGAUGGGUGACUGCUUAGGAAUACCAGGUGCUGUA